rnacentral:rRNA from 1 species
AUUGAACGCUGGCGGCAGGCCUAACACAUGCAAGUCGAGCGAGCGGCGGACGGGUGAGUAAUGUCUGGGAAACUGCCUGAUGGAGGGGGAUAACUACUGGAAACGGUAGCUAAUACCGCAUACCAUCAGAUGUGCCCAGGUGGGAUUAGCUAGUAGGUGGGGUAACGGCUCACCUAGGCGACGAUCCCUAGCUGGGGUGAGAGGAUGACCAGCCCCACUGGAAUUGAGACACGGUACAGACUCCUCGGGGAGGCAGCAGUGGAGAAUAGUGCACAAGGGGCGCAAGCCUGAGGCAGCCAUGCCGCGUGUGUGAAGAAGGCCUUCGGGUUGUAAAGCACUUUCAGCGGGGAGGCGUUACCCGAAGAAGAAGCACCGGCUAACUCCGUGCCAGCAGCCGCGGUAAUAC